CACGUAGGGCGCAAGCGUUGUCCGGAAUUAUUGGGCGUAAAGGGUAUGUAGGUGGUUAUGUUAGUCAGGUGUCUAACCUCUGGGCUCAACCUGGAGACAGCAUUUGAAACGGCAUGGCUAGAAUAUGCGAGGGGUGUACGGAACUCAUAGUGUAGGGGUGAAAUCCGUUGAUAUUAUGGGGAACACCAAAAGCGAAGGCAGUACACUGGCGCAUUAUUGACACUGAAAUACGAAAGCGUGGGUAGCGAAUGGG
rnacentral:rRNA from 1 species